GUAAAAGUUUCAUGAUGAAAUACUUAGCUCUCGUUGUAGCGCUCGUUGUUGUCAGUUACAUUCAUCUAUCAGAAUGUCAAUCAGAGUUAACGGAGGAUGAACCCAAAUUUCGAACGCUAAUUUUGGGGCUAACUAUUAUUAGAGGUGUUCUGAGGGUCGCACAGGAAUUCCUUAAAAUUUUAAAUAAAUUUAUUCAAGAAGGCGAUUGGGCGCCAUUGAUUACGGAUUUAGUGGAGAUGAUAAAAGUUUCCACGAAUGUUAUUACCGUUUGUGUAAGUGAAAAUUUAUUGACGUGCAUCAAGGUGAAAUAUGAAGGAUUUAAAUCGCUGAUUUCCCUGACAAUACAAAUGACUAUGAAAAUUCAAGGAGUUUGUGCAUCGGGAUGUAAGAACGAAACAUCAAGCAUCUUUACAAAAUAUUUCAAUAUUUUUAACACGAUUUCCCAAAAACUGACUAUAAAUAUGGGAAGAAUGCCUACUACUACAUAAUUAAAAACCAUAAAAACUACUAAAAUUA
rnacentral:sRNA from 1 species